CAAUAGCGUAUAUUUAAGUUGCUGCAGUUAAAAAGCUCGUAGUUGGAUUUCGGGUGGGAAUGGCCGGUCCGCCGUUUCGGUGUGCACUUGCUACGCCCACCUUGCUGCCGGGGACGUGCUCUUGAGUUCACGCUCGGGACACGGAGUCGGCGAGGUUACUUUGAGUAAAUUAGAGUGUUCAAAGCAGGCCUACGCUCUGAAUACAUUAGCAUGGAAUAACACGAUAGGACUCUGGCCUAUCUUGUUGGUCUGUAGGACCGGAGUAAUGAUUAAGAGGGACAGUCGGGGGCAUUCGUAUUUCAUUGUCAGAGGUGAAAUUCUUGGAUUUAUGAAAGACGAACUACUGCGAAAGCAUUGGCCAAGGAUGUUUUCAUGAAG
rnacentral:rRNA from 1 species